AGGCGGGUGGUGACUCGGGAGCGUGGCGGGGCGGGCGCGGGUCCCGCCGCUUCGUGAGGGGGAGGCGGCCGUGCCCCGCCGUCCUCCGGCUCCCGCUCCCUUCUGAGGGCUCCCCUCGCGCCGCGUCCCCGCCGCUCCCGCCUUCCCCUUCACGCCGCGGGUCCGGCCGCUCCCGCCUUCCCCCUCACGGAGCGCGGCGCCGGCGGCUCCGAGCUGUGAGGGGGGAGCGGGGCGCCCUCGGUGAAAGCGCCUAAAACGCAACGCACAGACCGCAGACCUCCCUCCGCCUCAGCCCUCUGAUCUAAACGACACCUUUAGAUUAAACAGAAAUUUAUCUCCGGCCCAAAUAGGCCGGGAUUUGGCUCACCUGCGGCGCCCGUCGCCUGGACCCGGAGGAGGUGCCGGCUGUCUGGAAAACCAGGGAUGAGAAAACCGAGGGAUUUUCUGCAGGCUUGAUGUAACCCGCAGCAGGCUGUUGCAUCAAAGACUAGAAAAAGAACCCGGGACAAAAAUAAUCUUUUAAGUGCGUGCAGCUAAGAUUAGUGCAGCGUGUCAAGAUGUUGCUGAGCGCUACAGAACGAGUCCUGCCUGUACCAACACAGAAAUACUACUUUUCUGGCAUCUGCAACCCCGAGUAUCCAAAUUUUAUACCAGAGUGAUGUUUAGGGAUAGGAUCCGACCAUACAAUUUUGGCUUUAAAUUCAAGCUUCCCUCCCUUCUAGAUGUUGGGCUUGAGGGUUUAGAUGUGGCUCGUCAUAAAGACACAAGAUCCGUAUGAAAUUCUGAAUUUGUACUGUGAAUAUGUUCAAACCUACUGUAUUGCUUUACCUCAUCCCUCUGAGAAAUCCGACCAAAUAGGAGAAUAUAAAAGCAAAAAAGUACAAAAUAGGGCUUUCCCCCCCCCCCAUGCUUUUAUUAAUUUGAUUGUUUAUAGCAGAAAUGCUGCUCCUCCUACCCCUCAGGUAGGAAACGCCACAGCUGACACAAGCUAGUCUCUACCCGGGCAGCAGCAUUAAAUUAUUUAAAGUGCUGGUAGAGAUUUUUCCAAAUCAGUUUCUGCUAUGUUUUAAUCCUGGAAAUGCUUUUCAAGUAAAUAACAGUGGUGAAGUCCAUCUUCUGGCUCGUGAUACUAAUUUGGAUAUGCAAAGUGUUCUGUUCUCUUUGCCCUUGCUGGUUUUCCAUGUGGGCAUAAUUUUUAGCCUUCAGUGUUAACACCCAAGAUUAAUGGGUAUGUUCCUACUUCUAAGAGUAUUGUUUCAGCUGCUGUUGUACUGAGGCAAAAUCCCCGCACAGAUGUACGAAUAGUUCACUUUGCAGGGUAUAAGUUCACAGCCAUGAAAAUAUUCUUGACUAUUCGUAAUGGAAACUUGCAUUUUAGAGAAACAAAGUUCUUAAAUAUUCUGUGGCAGUUUUCAGCUCAUUUUAUAGGUAAAAUUUUUUGUAGAUGUCUUUGAUUUGCUGUUGAUUUAUUUCCCUCCACCAUUUCUGUCCUUCUAGGAUUAUCUGCAUUUAAUUACACGUUGUGUCAAGGUCAACAAAUUGCUGUCGAGGAUGGGGAUCUCGCUGUGCAAGGCCUGACACAAACACCAGUAGAGUUUCUGCCCAUCACAGCCAGCAUGCCCAUUUGCUUCCUCAAGAUUUCAGAGUGUGCAUCUGAGAAUUCUGACUGUGCAUCAUAAAGUUUCCCUCAGCAACUGCUAAAACUAUUCACAAGGCACUGCAGCAUGGAGCAGCUCUCAAAGAUGGAAUGAUGGAUGCUGGUUUGCCGGAAAAUAAAUGAAGCACAAGGAUGACUUCAAACAUUUGCAGGAGCCAUGCUGACACUCAAAAUAUAGAAACAUCAAGUAACUUUCCUGGUGAGAUCAUAAAAGCAGAGCCACAGUGAUCAAAGAAGAAAAUGCAAGACUCUUACUCCAUUUCUAAUACAAGAUCCAUUCUCCUUCUGGGACCAGGAGCCUCCAUGGCACAGAGAUGCUCCCAUAGUCUACAAAUACAGUACAUAAGCUACAGGACCAGAUGGCUCCCACACAUAAUGCUCUGAAUCAUGGCAAGGCUGGAGGUGUUUGUUCUGUGGCACAGCAAACACACGCUGGACCAGGUUAAACCCCCUCUCAGCCACAUAUGGUGCACGCUGCGUGGAGCUGCAGCAGGUGCCUAUGGAUCCACACAGAGGAAGAUCCUUUUCUUCUUGCAGGUUGUCAGGAAAAUGACUGUCAUACCUUCAGCACAAAUAGCAGGGAAUAGAGGCAGUGCAGUAACACAUGGCACAGGACAGAUGCUCGGCGCUUCCUGGGAUGCACAAUGCCUGAUGGCAAGGAAUCCUGGCGGGCCAAGGACAGGAGGCUCUUGUUCCCCCUCUGAUUCCCCCGUGCAGCUUGUGAUUAAACUGGUGCUGACACCUUGCCUGGUGCCUGUUUGCACAGCCAAUUGCCCUGGGCAGGACUUCUGGCCAUGAAGCACCUACUGGAAAAGGAGAGAAUCUCAUUGUUUGAGAGCAUCUUUGCCCCUGGCAUUUGUUAGACAGAAAAUAAAACUGAUUUUCUCCUCACUUGCCUCACGUAGAUGUGGGGUAGAUUCAAGCUGUGGCAGCCCUGUGAAAUAAGAGUGAAUGGGGGGUGUCUGCCAAUGGAACAACCACUGCUCAGGAGGACGAGGCUGGAG